CUGCUCUCUUUGGAGAAACGCUUUAAUGCUUUUAUCGAAUUUAGAGGGGAUCUACCUCUGCUAGAGCGAGGGGCUCAAGUCCUUCGCUUUAGGGUUUCACGAUCCACCAUUUAUUCUUAAGCUAAUGCCCUCUUUUUCUCUGGACGAAACGAAGCUUCUCGUGUUGGGUUCUACUCGUCCGAAUAGCUUGCCUUCAUGCAACAUCGUUGGUGGUGUCAAGGUACUUUCUUCUUUUUCUGCAUUUGGCUUUGGAUUUCUAUGAUCUCUCCUGAGCCGUGAUCCGUGAGCUUCUGCUCAAGAUUGUUUGUCCAUCAACAGGUCUUGAUUUGGAUUUGGAGGAAUCUUGUUUACUUCCACUGGAUAUGUAAAAUGGAAUUUGUAGGUUACUGAACUUCAGGAUUUAACGGUCAAAAUUGUUUUUUGUGGAUUGUUGGUUUGAUCUGGUGGGGUUUAUAAAUCUAGUUAAGGAUCGAUUUUCUUUAGUUGUGUGAAUUCUGUCUUCUUGAGAAAUCUUUCGGGGGAUUACUUGAAUCUGUUGACAAUGCGAUCCUCAGAUGAUCUGGGUAGCCCGUCUACACCCUUUCGCUCAUUUGGCCUUUCAAUGUUUAGAGCAAGGCGUGAACAAGUUCAUUCCAUGGAAGGCACUCAUGAAUCUGGUAACCAAGAUGUUGGGUCAUUUCAGAAACAUGUCACAGAACGAUUCCAUGAGCUGUCUGUUGUUAGUGCUGAUGGAUUACUAUCUGUUGAAUGGAUUAAGAAACUUUUGGAUGCUUUUAUGAGUUGCCAGGAAGAAUUUAGGGUAAUUUUGUUGAAGAACAAAGACCAAGUUUUGAAAUCCCCUCUGGAUAGUAUGAUUUCUGAAUUUUUUGAGAGGAGUGUGAAGGCCCUUGAUAUAUGUAAUGCAAUUCGUGAUGGGAUUGAGAAGCUUCGUUUAUGGCAUAAACAAUUGGAGAUUGUUCAGUCUGCGUUGCAUUCUCCCCAGAGGAUGGUGGGUGAGGGCAAUUUCCGUCGGGCGAGAAAAGCUUUAGCUGACUUGGCACUUGCAAUGCUUGAUGAGAAGGAAUCUGGAUCAGUUUUGUCACAAAGGAACCGGUCAUUUGGGCGUCAUAACACAAAUAGGGGUCGUAGUCAGCACCCGCCAGGGCAUUCACGUUCUCUUUCAUGGAGUGUUUCUCGAUCUUGGUCUGCAGCUAAGCAACUUCAAUCAAUGGCCGGCAACUUGGUGGCACCUCGUGCAAAUGAAGCUGUGGCAACAACUGGACUGGCAGUUCUUGUUUUCACCAUGAAUUCUGUGCUCUUGAUUGUCCUGUGGGCUCUUGUUGCAGCUAUCCCUUGCCAGGAUAGGGGCCUUAAUAUUCACUUUCAAAUCCCACGGAAUUUCUCAUGGGCUGUGCCAAUACUCCAACUUUAUGAGAAGAUUAUGGAGGAGUCGAAAAAGAGAGAAAGGCGGAGCUCUAAUGGUUUGUUGAAGGAAAUUUAUCAGUUUGAGAGAUGUACACGUCACCUGACAGACUUGGUUGAUGUAGCUCAAUUUCCGCUGACAGAGGAACAGAAGACAGAAAUUGAGCAGGGAGUGCAAGAGUUGGCUAUGGUUUGUGAAAUUUUUAAGAAUAGUUUGGAUCCAUUGGAGCGCCAAGUGAGGGAAGUCUUUCGUAAAAUCAUGAGUUGCCGAACUGAGGGUCUUGAAAUCUUGGGUAAUGCUAACAAUCCUCAGUAAUUCAAGUUGGUAGAAAUUGCAAGGGAGCGUAAGUGUACAGACUGCGAGUAUAUUGCAUUAUACUUUCUUGGCUAGGACGAAGACUGUUUUGAGAUUGGUUAGCCACAAUAAGAGGUUUAGCAGGGUGGAAAGAGUAAAGAGAACCACUCAUGUACAAGUGAGCAGGCAUGCAAAGAACUUGCAAGUGAUGUUUCAGGCCAUGGCAGCCUUUGUUGCAUCAUUAUGAAUCGAUAUGGUAUUGGCAGCAUUUGUCAUCAAUGGAUUUGAUGCUUUGAUAUAUGGCAGUUGUAUGUGAAAAAUCCUCAUCGUAAUCAAUAGGCUUAGGUGUUUAUGUUCAAAUAAAGCUGAAGGGAUUUGAAAAUCUUAUAUAGUAGCAGCUGACUCUUUGUUGUUUUCUGCUACAUGUUUUGUGUUCAUCUUAGUAUAUUGUGACACUGAUAUUCUCCUUAUAUGGAACAA